rnacentral:rRNA from 1 species
CCAACAGGGAUUGCCCCAGUAACGGCGAGUGAAGCGGCAACAGCUCAAAUUUGAAAUCUGGCUCUCGGGCCCGAGUUGUAAUUUGCAGAGGAUGCUUCGGGCGCGGUGCCUUCCAAGUCCCCUGGAACGGGGCGCCGAAGAGGGUGAGAGCCCCGUACGGUUGGCGGCCAAGCCUGUGUGAAGCUCCUUCGACGAGUCGAGUAGUUUGGGAAUGCUGCUCUAAGCGGGAGGUAGACCCCUUCUAAAGCUAAAUAUUGGCCAGAGACCGAUAGCGCACAAGUAGAGUGAUCGAAAGAUGAAAAGCACUUUGAAAAGAGGGUUAAACAGCACGUGAAAUUGUUGAAAGGGAAGCGCUUGUGACCAGACGUGCGCCGGGGUGCUCAGCGGGCGUUCUCGCCCGUGCACUCGCCCCGGUGCAGGCCAGCGUCGGUUUGGGCGGGGGGAUAAAGGCGCCUGGAACGUAGCUCCCCCGGGAGUGUUAUAGCCAGGCGUGCCAUGCCUCCGCCCGGACCGAGGUACGCGUUCUGCAAGGACGCUGGCGUAAUGGUCCCCAGCGACCCGUCUUGAAACACGGACCAAGGAGUCGAGGUUUUGCGCGAGUGUUUGGGUGGAAAACCCGCACGCGUAAUGAAAGUGAACGCAGGUGGGAGCUUCGGCGCACCACCGACCGAUCCUGAUGUUCUCGGAUGGAUUUGAGUAAGAGCGUAGGGCCUCGGACCCGAAAGAUGGUGAACUAUGCUUGGAUAGGGUGAAGCCAGAGGAAACUCUGGUGGAGGCUCGCAGCGGUUCUGACGUGCAAAUCGAUCGUCAAAUCUGAGCAUGGGGGCGAAAGACUAAUCGAACCAU